AAGAAAUCCGCAACUAUCUAUGGAAACCUUGUAUCUCUACCUUCCACUUUUCCUAGCAUUAUACAUCUUCACCAAGCACUUCCUCAACAAAAUCCGAAACCUUCCACCUAGUCCCAUCCUUAAUCUCCCCGUCCUCGGCCACCUCCUCCUCAUCAAGAAGCCUCUUCACCGAGGCCUAGCCAAGAUUUCCGACCGUCAUGGCCCGGUCCUCCUCCUGGAAUUCGGCUCACGCCCAGUCCUCCUUGUCUCCUCCGCUUCUGCAGCCGAAGAAUGCCUCAACAAGCACGACAUCGUUUUCGCCAACCGCCCGCGUCUGCUGGCUGGAAAACAUCUGGGAUACAAUUAUACCUCAAUGGCAUGGACGUCCUACGGGGAUCACUGGAGAAAUCUACGGCGGAUAGCUUCACUGGAGAUCUUGUCUUCCCACAGGCUUCAAACGCUUCACGGGAUACGUGUUGAUGAAGUAAAAUUGAUGCUGAAAAGGCUGUUUUCAGCUUCAGAAAACAAGAAAAGCGUGGAUAUGAGGGCCCUUUUCUUUGAGCUGAUGUUGAACGUGAUGAUGAGGAUGAUUGCUGGGAAGAGGUAUUAUGGGGAGAAUGUUGGGGAAGUUGAGGAGGCUAGGAGGUUUAGGGAGAUUGUAGAGGAGACGAUGAUAAUUGGUGGAGCUUCGAAUAUGGGAGAUUUCUGGCCGGUUUUGAGGUGGUUAAAAGUGGGAAAGAAGGAGAAGGCCUUGAGGGUUUUGCAGGAGAAUAGGGAUCAAUUCGUGCAGGAGUUGAUCAAGGGGUUUAGGAGUGCAAAAGAUGCAGAAAAUGGUGGCGGCGAUGCAGAGGAAACAGGGGAAAAGAAGAAAACGUUGAUUGAAGUUUUGUUGACCCUGCAACAGAAGGAGCCUGAGUAUUACAAGGAUGAAAUCAUUAGAAGCCUUAUGCUGGUAUGGUUACUCUGAUAAAUUUCUUUCUGGCUCUUCUUCUUCUUAUUAAUGUAGCUAAUUUGUUAUCAUUUCUAUGUUCCCUAGAAAAUGUCAAACUUCGAUUAAGGACAAAUUAAUAGAAAUUGAAAGUAAUUCGAAGAUUAAGUGACUAAAUCUAGAUGGCCAAAAUUUGCUUUCUUUGAGUAUAAAAUAUAAGCUUACUUCAGUUGUCGUACAGUAAUUCGAUUGCUUCCAUUAUUGUGCAAAGUUAUGAUGAAUAAGAAAAAUUCACUGGUACAGUUCAAGAAUAGAGUUGACCGCACGGUGUGAACAGGAGUAGAUCCCAACGUAUUGGGCGGGGGGCCCACUUUUCUUCGGUGUUGGCAUUUGACAGUGAAGCAGAAAGAAAGUAUGAUGUCUAGCCAACCGAUGUCUAAAGUUGGUUGACUAGAUUUUAGAAGCAAAUGUCACUGAUCAUGCUCUUCAUUCUACCGUUUACCACUUUCUUCUUCUUUUCUCAAGUGCAUUUCACCAUUGACCGCUUUCGUAUUGCAGGUUUUACUAGCAGCAGGUACCGAUACAUCAGUGGGAACAAUGGAGUGGGCAUUGUCACUAAUGCUAAACAAUCCAUCAACUUUGGAGAAGGCAAAAGCAGAAAUUGACAGAAUCAUAGGAAAAGAACGUUUAUUAGAUGAAUCAGAUGUGGCUAAUCUACCCUAUCUCCGGUGCAUAAUUAGUGAAACAUUGAGGAUGUUUCCAGCAGGGCCUAUAAUGCUACCCCACGAAUCCUCCGAGGAAUGUGUGGUUGGGGGUUACCGUGUGCCUGGGGGGACAAUGUUGAUUGUCAAUUUGUGGGCUAUCCAAAAUGAUUCCAAGAAUUGGGAGGAUCCAAGAAAAUUCAAGCCUGAAAGAUUUGAAGGGCUUGAAGGGACCAGAGAUGGCUACAAAUUAAUGCCAUUUGGUUCUGGUAGAAGAGGUUGUCCUGGGGAGGGAUUGGCCAUGCGCAUGGUUGGAUUUGCUUUGGGAUCAAUUAUUCAGUGCUUUGAUUGGAGCAGAAUCAGUGAGGAGAUGGUAGAUUUGGCUGAGGGGCCUGGACUGACUCUGCCUAAGGCUCAACACUUAGUCGCCAAUUGUCGAGCACGACCUGGAAUCAUGAGCCUUCUUUCUCAAAUUUAGACUGCGACGAGGAUGUAUCUUGACUCUUGAGAAAGGGUGGGCAGUAUUUGCCUCGUCUCUUCUUCUUGUUUGAAGAAAAAAUAUGUACUAGUAAAAAAAAAAAAGUCUUGUUUUAUAUAUUUCACUUGUUUCUUUAAGGGAAAAAAUGACGGAGUAAUUUACUUUAUAGUAGUUGCUAUUUGAUGACGCUAAUUUUUGAAUUUCCUUGUUUUAAGUUGGAAUUUUCACAGCACAAUAAUUAUACCUUGCAACUCCUAACUGAAAACAACUCAAACCAUAUAUUUAUUCAUUCUCCUAAUGUCCACACUAAGCAAUAUCUUAGUUGGCAACUUCUUGAUCCGAAAGUUUUCUUUAGUGUUGAUAAUCAAUGAGAGAUAAAAAAAAAUGAGUAUCUAAAAAUAUAAAGGUCUAUCUAUUUGGACAACCGUUCUUAAGACAUAUUUCAGAUAAAAAAAUACAAGAUUAAUUAGAAUAAAUAAAUAUAAAGAGGGGCAGGAAAGAUUAAAUAGACAAACAUAUAUAAGUACAAGGAAGGAUAAUAAUUGUAGUAAAUGUGUGUGUAUAUAUAUAUAUAUAAUAAAUUAGAUAAAUUUUAAAUGUAUUAACGAGUGUCUAGUAAACACCCGAAAAAAUCCAAAAUAUGACGAUUUUUUUCCGUAAGAAAACUCGAAUAUGAGACGUCUCAGUUGCACUUCGUCCCUAGAAACGCCCAACCAAUAUCCCUUCCCUUCUAAAGGCCGCUGCCGCUAGUGCUGAUGACCAGGGCAUGGUCGAUAUGAAAUCAGCCUUCUUCGAACUCACACUGAACAUUAUGAUUAGGAUGAUUGCUGGAAAACGGUAUUCUGGUGAUGGCUCAGGAAAAAUAGGGGGAGUCGCGAGCUUUCAAGAGAUGGUUAAAGAGAGUGUUAAAGUCAGCGGAUCAACAAAUGCUGCAGAUUUUGUUCCGCUACUGAGGUGGAUAGGGCAAAAUAAGCUUGAAAGUCAUCUGAAAACGUUGCAGAUGAAGAGGGAAAAGUUCCUACAAGAUUUGAUUGAAAAGCACGGAAGCAUCACCAGUCAUCGUGAGAACAAGACACUGAUUGAUGUUCUCUUAUCUCACCCAGAGACAGAACCAGAGUACCAUACGGAUCAAAUCAUCAGAGGCUUGGUUCAGGUGAGUCAAGUUUUAAGGAGAAUAGUAGAUCGGUCCCUCGAAAGUGCCAACAUUCCAUAAAAUCAAGUAUAUUAACAACCUAAGAGAAUCCACCUCAAGCGCUAGCUAGCUGUCAUACUUGAAGGGUAGGAUCAUAAGUUCAUAGCAUUAACUUCCCUGCUUUUUCAGCUUUUAACAAUCAGUCAAGAUAACUCAAAAGCAUGUAUCAUGUGUUAUCCGGUAUUGAUAGAGAUAAUAAAUCAAAUUUCGUCUAAUCUUAAUAGCUGAUAAUGUUAUCGGCGGGAAGUGACGCAACAUCUGGAACUAUGGAAUGGGCACUGUCAGUUCUGCGGAACAACCCAGAGGCUUUAAAGAAAGCACAAGAAGAAAUAGACUUUCAAAUAGGCCAAUCAAGGCUGAUAACUGACUCCGACCUUGGCCAGCUUCCUUACCUUCAAGCAAUAAUAAACGAAACCUUUCGUAUGUAUCCUGUGUCCCCUUUUAUCUCCCUGCAUGAAUCAUCCGAAGAAUGUACAGUUGAAGGCUUUGGUAUCCCUCGUGGGACAUUGCUCCUAGUGAACCUUUGGGCUAUUAAUUAUGAUCCUGAAAUAUGGGAAGAACCCACAAAAUUCAAACCUGAAAGGUUCAUGAACUUGGAAGAUCAGAGAUAGAGAUUCGAGUUUAUGCCAUUCGGGCUUGGCCGAAGAGGAUGUCCUGGAGAAAAUUUUGCUCGACGAGUUGUGGGGUUGGCAUUGGGUUCACUUAUUCAAUGCUUUGAGUGGGAAAGACCUGGGGAAGAAUUGGUGGACAUGAGUGAAGGAGCUGGGCAUACUAUGCCUAGAGCUCAACCGCUGCUGGCAAAGUAUAGGCCACCCCCUGAAAUGGUUAAGCUUCUUUGAGUUGUGAUCUGAGUGUUUGACAAUGUUUUCUUCCUACAACACCUAGACGACUGUGGAGAAACAAGUGAACAAGAAAACAGAGGAUGUCUCUCUGUACGUGUUUGUUUUAACUUUUAAUACUACUAUUUUAUCUCUUUCAACUUCGCUUUGUGUUGCUGCAAGAAAGUAUAAAAAAGCAAAGGGUUUACUCUAGUUUCUUGCUUUCUCCAAAGAUCCAGCAUUUUCAUGUGUGUUUCUAUUAUUUGUUAACCAAUGGUUCAGAAUUCAAUCGACGGAGAAGCAAAAUUUUGCCAAGCAUGAGAAAUUCCCAAAAUUCUGAUCAAAUUUAAAUUAUUUGUAAGAUGCUUUUGGUUGCAUGUUGUACUUUAGAGGGUCCUCACGUUCUGUAAUUUAGAGCUUUCUUGCAUUCUAUAACUGCGAGGUAAGGUAAGCAAAAUUUAAAUUGCCCCCAGGGCAUAUGGCGUAGCGGUUGAGGGGUCGGUCUUGAGUUGUUGACUUCUUCACUGAUUGGGGUUCGAUUUGUACCCGCUACGCUGCACAUCCUGACUCACCCGGGAAAACUGUAUGGAGCUAUCGGCUUCCCUCCAAUUUGGUAUGCCGGCUCGGGUCCAAAGGGUUCGGAUCGGGGCAUGUUCCGAAUUACCAAAAAAAAACUUAAAUUUUGAUCAAGUUUAUCUGCUUUGGAAAAACCCCAUUCAACAGGAGGUUGCCCACUGCAAAAAAGCACCCCUAUUGUACAAUUUUUCAAACAUCAUCAAAAUCUUGUUUUUGAGGUUUCAAAGCCGCUAAAUUGAACAUUAGCUCUGAAUCGGAUAAUUAUGUUCAAUGGUGAUGUUUUGCUGAUAAUUACUCUUUAGUUAGUCCAGUGCGCAUGUACGCAUAGUCCAUUCGAUGCCCGUGGGAAACAGGUGUUACAAGGUCCAUGCAUUUUUCAACCAAAGAUAAGUCAAAGAGCGAAUUGCGCGAAAUGUCACUAAACUAUUUCAAAGUGCCGGUUCUGAUCAUUAAACUUUUUUAUUAGCGCGAAAUGUCACUGAACUAGUAAAUCUAUACCGUUUUGGUCACUCCGUGUAUUUGUGCCGUUAGGAGAGACGGAAAUUAACUUUUUGAGGGGUAAUUUCGUCUACACAAUAGUUAAAAAAUUUAUGCCUUCAUUCUUCUUCACCCACAACCAUAGUGCUAUACCAUAUUUACAUUCCCAGCCUUCCCGUACGCAUCAAUCAUCACAGAAUAGGUAACCUCAUCCGGUUCACACCCAAAAGACGGCAUUUUUUCGAACCACUGGACGGCUUUCUCAGGUAAAGAAGACAGCCUGGCGCAGCUAAUUAUGGUGGAAAGGAGGAGUAUUGGACCAGCAAUCAAAGAAUCAAGAGAUGAAUUCGCUGAAGAAGGGUUCUUUUCGUCCUCUGGGGCUGCUGCUUGGCCUUGUACCUGUCCCAUAUCUCAUCGAGAUUGGAUGCUACGGAGAUGAAGUAAGAGGAAAAGGCAACAGCAGCAACCAAAAAAUUGGGAUGGACGAGAAUUUUGAAGUUGGAGUUGGGGUUGGGUGCUAUCUGCAACCCAUGUAAAGUUGUGGAGUGAUUUGCGAUUAAUCUGUUAAAUGUUAUUGUGCCAACUGCCAACAGAAUUGGAAUGGACAUCAAAGUCCAGUGUAGGCCGACGACGGACGGAGCUCUCUAUGCCCACCCACUUCUGCAACAAAACCACCGAACUUUACAUUUAAUUUCUCAUUCUUUUCACUCUUUCCGCAUCGUCAUUUUCGCCACUCCCAACCCCAGAGGUAUGUAAAGGUGACAUUAUCGGGCUUAACUCCUCUCUCAAUCAUAUCCGUAAACAAUUUCUCGGCUCUGUCCAAGUCUCUACAUUUUCUAAACACCUUGAAGGUAACAUUAUACAAAAUCACUUCUUUCUUCAACUUAAGCCUUUCCAGAAAGUAACUCAGCACCAAAGGCGCAGUUUCAGAGUUGGACAUGUUAUUGAGCACAACGGCAGCAUCUUGCUCUACAACUUUGCCACCCAAAUUAGCCAAAAUACUAAUAACGUCAGCUUCUACAGGGUCACACGAGUCCAAUUGUUGGGAAGCUUGGACUAAAGAAGCAUACCUGAAAUCGUAGGAAUUGCGCCUGAGCUUUGAUGCCCUGGAGCUGUUGGGGUUGACCCAGAUAUAGCUUUUUGAGGAAGAAGAGAUGGUUUUAGCAUCUGGGCGGUGAGGAAUUUGGGAAAUUGAGGGGGAUUGUUGUUGGGAAGCCGGUAUAGAGAGGGAAGGUUUUGGAUGGGGCUUGAGAGGAGGAAAAGCGAGGGCGUUAUGGGGGAUGAUUCUGAGUUGGUGGAGGUGAGUGGGAUAAAGAGAGUUACAGAAGAGGUGUGGGUGGCGAGAGAGAUGAGACGGCGAAUAGGCGGCGGCCACCAUUCUUCUCUCUACUCUUCUUCCUUCCUUCUCAGUCGUCACUCACUCAGCAGAGCAGUCAGCAGCAUUUGAAUUUUCUUCUUUUUUACAACUAUGAAAAAUUUCGCCUGCAUUUUUUGGUUGAAGUUUGAUGGUGCCGCCAUUCAGAUCAGCCAUCUCCUUUAUGUCUUUGCCGGAUACGGAACCAUUGAUUAUGUAAAAGCUUCAAGAAAAAGGCUGUGCUGACAAAUUUGCCCCUCAAAAAGUUGAUUUCCGUCUCUCCUAACGGCACAAAUACACGGAGUGACUAAAACGGUAUAGAUUUACUAGUUCAGUGACAUUUCGCGCUAAUAAAAAAGUUUAGUGACCAGAACCGGCACUUUGAAAUAGCUUAGUGACAUUUCGCGCAAUUCGCUCUAAGUCAAAAAAAUAUUUGUCUGCGGAGCGGAACUCCAUUUUCAUAUAAAAAAAAAUGCUGAAAGUCGCCAUAUCUGUUUCAGUACUACCACUCUACCAGUUCCAUCUGACAGCUCACGACCGCAAGGGGGGGAAAAAAGACAAAUAAAAACAAGGAUCUAUGUCAAUCGCAUGUUAUAUGAAAUCUUAACACAAGAUUUAAGAUUGCAAGAUAUCAGCUGAUACAAGGUGGCCUAAGCUGAAGGCGUCUUGCUCCCUAGAAGCUAUAUCACUGAAACAGCAGGGAAUUGUUUAGAAUAUUACAUUGGAUAAGCAUUUUUUUUUUUUUUUGGUAAAUAAAGAUGCAUUAAAAAUAAAUCAAGUCAACAGAGUGCAAAUUAAGGUACAGUCAUCCGUGGGGUGGAAACCCCCUUUAAGUCUUGCAAAAGUAAGGGAAGUACAAAAUUAGGACAUAAUUCAAAAAAAGUGAAGUCUUGAGUGUUGCUUCUUCCCCAGUUGGCAAGGAUGUCUGCACAUUUGUUUGCUUCUCUAUAAUUAUGGUGAAAACAUACUUUCUGGAAUGUAGUCAAUAGCUCCCUGCAAUCAAGAAUAAUAGGUGCAAGUUCAUGAGAAAUAAGAUUAUUUGACUUACACAAGGAGAAUAUAAAGGCAGAGUCCAUCUCCACUUCGAGAGAGUGGAUGUUGAGUUUUUUUGCAAGUUGUAAGCCUUCUCUAAGAGCCCAACAUUCAGCAGAAGGAACUGAACAGAAGCCUAAAUUUCUUGCAAAGCCCGCAAUCCAUAUCCCAUUUGAGUCACGAAUAAUGCCGCCAGCUCCUGCCUGGUUUGUUGGUCCAGAGACUGAACCAUCAGUGUUGAGCUUGGCGAAACCUAUAGCAGGGGGGAUCCAUCUGAUGAAUUUUUCUUGUCUAGGGGAUCUGGAGAAGUGAGAACCAGGCCCUAGUAGGCUUCUGUUCCAGAUGCACGCCUCCGAGCAAGGAUGUAAAUGAAUCUAACCAAACUGAACACCCUAGUAUUCAAGUUUAUUUGAUUAUUUUAACAAGUUUGUAAUUUUAUUCAAAUUUAAUUUAUUUAUUUAUCGAACCAAGUUUGUUUGAUUAUUUUACCGAAUUUGAACGAGCUAUUUAUUGAAGAGUGUGUUUGGAUAGGAGAUUAUUUGAAAUAUUAUUUAGAAUAAUUACUGUAGCACUUUUUGUAAUGUAAUGUAUGUAAAAUAAAAAGAUGAUUGAGAAGAUAAAAAGAUGUGUUGGAAAUUGUAUUUGUGAUGUAAGCAAAUAAUUUCUAGCCAUUAUUUGGCUAUCCAAACACACUGAAUAUAAAACGAUAUUCAAUCUUAAUUUGACUAGUUAGCAAAUCAAACUCGAAUGAACUCAAACCAAACUGAACUCGAUUCAAAUAUCAAGUAGAUUGAUUUAUCUUUCAACAUUUCGGAGUUGUUAUCCAUGUGUUUGAGAAUGUCAUCCUCCUGUAUUGUGUUUUGGUUUUUCAAGUCCCGAACGAUGUUUUUUUGUUGCAGCAAAGGAGGAAAGUUUUAGAGAGCUUAGGAUAUUACAAUAAAAUAGCAGUCAGGAGUAGCGAAGGAGGAAACAUAUGAUUCAGCCGAAAGGGGAACGAAAAGAAGAAGAAGAAGAAGAAGAAGAAGAGGAGAAGUUAUGGUUUUAAUUUAUUUGAAGAAUUGCCAUAUAUAUAUAUAUAUAUAUAUAUAUGUAUUUUAGGUAAAAGAAGAUUAUAUACUAGUAGUAGUUUGGAAAAAUAAGGAAUGCGAUCAUAAUAAGUAAAUGCAAAAAAGUUUGCCGUAAACUCCUUUGAGUGUUUGUAGUUGUCAAAGCUCUUUGUCAGGCUGCCCCCAGUGGUUCGAAAAUGUGCUGAGGACCUCUUUUGAACUAAUUUGUUACAUGGAUGGAAACCAUACGCACACCAAAAGAUUAGAAAUUUUCAUGCUAUCCCUUGUUUCUACAUUUAAUAAUAAUAAUAAAAAAAAGUGGAUGAGGCGUUGAUCUACAAAGUUGAGGUUUUAGAAUUUGGAGAUCUUGAAUUCAAUACUUAUCAAAGUGUGAGUCUCUAAACUUUGUGUUAGUAUUUAUCCCACCAUAUGUAUGUAGAUUAGUUGUAGUUCGAAAUAUUUGUAAUCUCUUAUAUUAGUCCUAUAGUUGUAGAUUAUACACGAUAUUAUCGAAGAAAAUAUUUAAAGAAGAAAAAAAAUGCAAUCUUAGUGCCCGAUAUGUAAAAUUGGUAACCACGAAACAAAUCUUGAUGAAUCCACGAAAUUCACCAUGAUCCCAAUAUAUGGGAAGAACCCACGAAAUUUAAGCCUGAAACGUUUGGGGGAUUCGUGUUUAUGGCAUUUGGGUAUGGUCAAAGAGCAUGUCUUGGUGAAAAUUUAGCUAGACAAGUUGUGAGGUUGGCAUUGGGCUCACUCAUUCAAUGCCUUAAUUGGGAAAGAAUUGGUGGAAAUGAGCGAAGGAGCUGGGUUUACUAUGCCAAGAGUUCAACCGCUGCUGGCAAAGUACAGGCCGCGCCCAGAAAUGGCUUCUUUCUGAGUUGUGAUCCUGGUGUUUUGGGAAUGUUCUUUGCCACCUGCACCACUGGGGAAUCGACUGUACGAGGAAAACAGAGGAUUUCCCACUGUAGUGCGUGCGUACCACGUUGGCUUACCACUACUUUUUAUAUUUUACCUUCACUUGGUCCAUAAUUUUUGCAGCUCAAGGAUGUGAAAAAGUCCGUGCCGUCCUGAUUCCAUUGUAAUGUAAGCUGGUCAAAGCUACAAGCCGGUUAUAUACGACGCUACUCCAAGAAAGGAGAAAAAUAUAAGCAAAGCAAGGAGGCCGUAAAGGAUGGAUAUCAGUAGCAGAUCAUUGACAGAUAAGAUACUAAUAUUCAAGAAUGAGAGGGCCGUAUCCCUUACGUCAAAGGAGUUUUGAAUCUUGAUUACUGAUACAUUCUUGAAAUAACAAUAAUGAAUUACUAGAUAAAAUAGGCAUACGGCAUAAGUAUCAUUCCAACACUUUGGAUUUAACCUCGAUCUCUAUGGAUGCUUCAUACUGCUACCUCCUGCUUUUUCCCUUCCUGUAUUUACUUACCAAUCAAAUCAUCAAAAAGUUCCGGAAUCUCCCACCAAGUCCACCUCUUUCCUUACCCAUAAUUGGCCAUCUUCAUCUCAUCCAGAAACCACUCCACCGAGGACUAGCUAAGAUCUCCGAUAAAUAUGGUCCAAUACAGUUUCUUCAUUUUGGUUCUCGGCCUGUCCUGCUUGUAUCUUCACCCUCAGCUGCAGAAGAAUGCUUCACCAAGAAUGACAUAAUCUUCGCUAAUCGGCCAAGAUUUCUCGCCGGAAAACACCUUGGCUACAACUAUACAACUCUGGGAUGGGUCUCAUAUGGCCAACACUGGCGCAACUUGAGAAGAAUAGCUACUGUGGAGAUCUUAUCUGCUACCCGAAUUCAAGCUUACACGAGCAUCCGUGUUAACGAGGUCCAUUCAUUGAUCAAGUACCUUCUAAUGGCCUCUAAAGCUAGUGACUCUAGCACGGUUGAGAUGAAAUCGGCCUUCUUUGGGCUGACACUUAACAUCAUGAUGAGGAUGAUUGCAGGAAAGCGAUACUACGGCGAUGAUGCCCAGAACAAGGAGGAAGCCGCAAGGUUCAAAGAGAUAGUUAAAGAGACUUUUCAACUCAGUGGGGCGACAAACAUAGCAGAUUAUAUUCCAUUAUUGAAGUUUUUUGGGCAACAGAAGCUUGAAAGCAAGCUGAAGACUUUGCAGGCGAAGAGGGAUCAAUUCUUGCAAGAUUUGAUUGAAGAACACAGAAGAACCGUGAGGAGUUCCGACAGUGAGAAGGGCAACAAAACAAUGAUAGACGUUCUCUUGUCCCUCCAACAGACCGAGUCCGAAUACUACACAGAUGAGAUCGUCAAAGGUAUGAUUGUGGUAAGUAACUAUUUAAUCCUCUCGAUAUCUUAAUCCAUCCGUCUGUUAAGCAUACAGAAAUUCUGAUCUUUGUCUGGGAUCAGUCCCAUGAAGGAUUGAGUCUGAAAAUCUAAGUCAAAGCUAGUUUGAUUGCACUAGUACCAUCUCCGUGUUGCCUUGCAUUUUUUAUUGAGCUGUAAUGCUAUGUUUCCUACACGUAACAAUUCUAGGGAUAAUUUCAGAAACCUCCCCUGAGAUUUCUAACAGUUUCACUGCCCUUCUCCGAGGUUUCUAAAAUAUCAGAAACCUCCCCUACUAGGUCAUUGGGGUCCAAUUGUCACAUCAAUCAUGGAAGAAUGACUUAAUUACCCAUACAACUUAAGAGGUAUUUCCCAAUUAUGUUCACAUGAUUAGUUAAACUGUUAUUAACUAGAUUUAACAGAAAUGAUGACAAUUUAUAAGUUUUUUUAAAAAAUUUCUAACAUGCCAUUACAAAAAGGGGGCCAUAUAUAGGCACCUUUCUAUGAUUGAUAAUUGAUGUAUGCGAGUAGAAGCAAUGAUUCAAACUUUAGUGUUUUUUGUGGAAUAAGAGAAAUAGAGCUUCUUUAGGUAUAUCUAAGGAUUUAGGAGAUUUGAAAAGGAGAUUUGCUCUUAAAUUUUUUUCAAAAUUUUGGUGAUUGUGAAAAUUUCAAGAUCAGCCUCUAAGAUUUUUCUGCUAUUAAAUUUUGGAAAUUUUUAUUAUUUGAUUGCAGUUGUUAAGGUAAUUCUUGAUGGUGAUGCUUAAUAGUGACCCUACAAGUGAAAAAGAAUAGUUUGGAUCAAACAAAAAAAGGAAAAUAUGAUUUUAUGUAGUUUGUAUUAUGUUCGGUAUGAUCUGCUCCAUUUGAUGAUUGGUAUUUAAUUAUAGUGUUUUUUCUUUUUUAUCCUAAUUAUUACUUUUAUUGUCAUCGAAAUUAGGUGCUGGUUUUGUAUGAAAUAUACGUAAAGAUUGUUGGUUGUAUGCUACUAAAUUGAAAAACCUUUUAAUUAUGACAAUUUUUUUCUUGUUUGUGAUUAUUCAACAAAUGUUUUUUUUUAAAUCGAAAUGUUGGUUGUAAUAGGAUUCACAUGCUUUGUUUCUCUUGUAGGAGAUUAUGCAAUUGAUGUGUUAUAAUAGAUGUAAUAGUAUGAUAUUACACAUGCAAUAUGUAGAUAAGAUUUUGAGUUGCUAAACUUGUUGUAGAGUUAGUAAAUUGAUAUUUUGUUUACGCUCUAUGAAUACGGUAACAAUUACACCGUCUCAAAUUUGAUAAAGUUAAAAUAGAUAUAUAUUGUUCGUAGGAAAUUAACUAUCUAAUGCAAAACUUGAGGGUAGUUAUGGAAUUUGACAGGUGCCGAACUUGUGCAAUAAUAAUUACUAAAAAGUCCUAAUUACCAUCACAAUUAAUUAUAGAACGAAUUCAAGUACUGGAGCAGGACCCUAGGUGAGCAAUGGGUUACUUGAUUCACCAUGUUCCCAAAGAGUUUGCUUGAUCCGAUAUACCAGAAUUGUCUAUAAAAAUACUAAGUUUGCAUACAAUGGCAAGUAGGGUCGAUUCCACAAGGAACGGGUAGGAAGUUGUUUCCUUCCAAGUCAAUAGAAUAAAAAAGAGGGACAAUUAAUGGGAUGAAACUAAAAAUAAAAUAAAUAAAAUUCAAGAGCUAACUCAACAACAAUUUAGUAAAAAUAGCAAUUAAUAAAAUUCUACCCAAAUGAUUAACUGCUCAGGCACGGUCCAAUUAAAUGAUCAUCGAUGCAAAGAUAUUUCAUUCAUCUGUCAUUAGGUUGGUUAUAGCUAUCAACAAGCUUUGACAACCAGUUCUUCCUUACUUUUUCGACAGUCAAGGUACGACCAUUGACUGUUUCUCUAACCAGAAAACAACUCUAGGUACGACCGUAAGAAUUUAAUUAUCCAAUUGGAUUAAAACUAGAAGAACCCAACCCUGAUCAAUAAGCACGCUAAGAGGGUUUAUUUAAAUCAGAUCUUACGUUUCUCCAACAUAAAGCCAAUUAUGGUGGUUGUUACUAGUUGUCAACUAAACGAAUAAUUACGGAUUCAAUUUAAUUAACGUGGCAGUAGGCUAUUAUGUUAAAUCAAAUACCCGACCGUUGAUAUCCAAUUAAUAAAAUACUCAUGAACAAUUAAUUCAGGAAACGUACGAAUAGCAAUAAGUUGGAAGAAAUAAUGAAAAUUCGAUUAGAUGUUACAGAUAUUAUGAACCGUGCUUUCGCGUCGACCUUCGGGUAGAGGAGAAAUCUAGCCGCUCCUUAUCAUAUCCAUCUCGCGUGAUUUAAUUGAAACCAUUCAAUUAAUUCCCGAAAAAUUGGGAAAGAUGAAACAACGAGGAAAACGAAUAAAAGGGCUUAAGUAUCUCUUGGUCUCUGUGUUUGUACUGGAGCAAGAAAGUAAAAGUAAAGCACUAGAGAAAGUCGGCUGCCAAAAGACAAGAGCCAAGCCGCCCGUAAGAAAUUGUCUAAUAGGAAGAGACAAAAGCUACAACUAUGAAGGUCGCGUGAUUCUGGCUUCUUAAUUGCUGCCGAAGAGAAAAAAAGGAAAAGAAAACGUCUGACACUAAAAAGCAAAAGCUAAUCUAAUUACAAAGACGUAAAUCUGGCUUUUUUCCUCUCUUUUGUAGCGGCGCCAGGAGAAAUCCACGAAAGGUCAGGAGCAAAGCUUUUCUUUUUGGGGUUUUAAUCCCAUGCCUCUCGUGGUUCACGUGGACCCAACCUCCUAAUUGCUCACUUUUUGCUGCCACCAAGCUCGCGGGUCCGGCUUUAGAUAUAUCUCCUCACUUUCUGGCGUGGCACGUCAUGAAACAAAGAGUCUUUUGGAAAUUUUUCUCGCGCGAUCACUUUUAACACCAAUCACCUACAAUUGAUACAAAUAUGAAAUAUGAGCAAAUUCUCAAUUCUUAGCAUCAUGAGUAGCCAAAAUUAGGACAGAAUAAUAGUGCAAAAUAUGCCCAAUAAUUGCUCUAUCAGAAUUAAAUUGUUUUCUCUCUUCUAAUACCAAUUUUAUAUUAUUUUUGUAUUUGAAUUGGGCUGAUUGUUACUAGCUAAUUAGCUUUAGGGGUGGUUUCCGAUAUUUUGAAAACCUCAGUGAGAUUGUCAAAAACCUCAGGGGAGGUUUCUGAAAUUAUCCCAUAAUUCUAUCUACGUCUAAUACUAUUUAUACUAAGAGGGUUGCUCACGAUAAAUGUUCUAACAUUAUCAUACACCUCCUCUUAUCCCUUCAUUUGUAUUUCUAUCUUAUUUACAGAAUCAAGAUAAUAGUAUAAAAAAUUCAAUCCCAUUGUACUAUUGAAUCAUGACGUGCAGGAAAAAAGGAAGAAGUAAAGAUAAAACGAAUGAGUAGCACAGUAUUCACCUUUAAUCCAUGCUUUAGACUAGCAGAAAAUAAUGCAAAUUUUGUCAACAGCAAAUGUUAUCAGCGGGAACCGACACAUCAUCCGGAACAAUGGAAUGGGCACUCUCCCUGCUGCUCAACAAUCCACAAGUUCUAAAGAAAGCCCAGCAAGAAAUUGACGCGUACGCUGGCCAAUCAAGGCUUAUCAAUGACUCGGACUUGGGUCAGCUGCCUUAUCUUCAUGCAAUUAUUAGUGAAACACUUCGCAUUUGCCCGGUGGCCCCUAUUCUGGUGCCUCAUGUGUCAUCCCAAGAGUGUUGUGUUGGAGGCUACAAUAUCCCCGGUGGCACGUUGCUGUUAGUGAACUUAUGGGCAAUGCAAAAUGAUCCCAAGGUUUGGGAAGAACCCACAAAAUUUAGGCCUGAGAGGUUUAUAAGUUUGGAAGGGCAAAGAGAUGGAUUUGUGUUCAUGCCAUUUGGGUUUGGCCGAAGGGGAUGUCCUGGCGAAAAUUUGGCCAUGAGCGUUGUGGGGUUGACAUUGGGGUUGCUUAUUCAAUGUUUUGAGUGGGAAAGAGUUGGGGAAGAGUUGGUGGAUAUGACUGAAGGGGCAGGGCUUACCAUGCCAAGGGCUAAAGAAUUGAUGGCCAAGUGUAAACCACGGCAAGAAAUGGUCAAACUUCUUUCUCAAUCGUGAUUGGGAUUUCAGAAGUUGGUACCUCUAAGAAAAAAACCCAUCGCAGUGAUGACAACAUUGUGAACAAAGUGUGCUUGUUUUGCCAUUAUUUUUGUGAUUCUAUACCUUCUUGUAUGUGGAAUAAAGGAUUUGAUUAAAAGUUUAAAAUACGGUUAGAGACACCUUAUUUUAAUUUAGUACGUUUUAUUGUAGGAAUAGAUGCAUAUGCAUACCUUUUUAUUUUGAUAGGUGAAAAUAAAACAACAAAAAAAAGACUUACAAAUAUGUUAGAUCUUCAAUGUUCAUGAAUAAAACUCUCUCUCUUUUUUUUUCACUUUUACUUCCUUUUGGAAAAGAAUUAAAACUCUUCUUUUUUUUUUUUACAGUUUUUUAUUUGUUCAUGAUGUGGGAGGUCUAUGUUCAUUUGAAAUCAAGAGCUCACCCCAACUUUUGUAGAAACUAGAGGGGAAGUUAGUGUAGUUUACCAACAAGAUACGUGUCUACUUACUUGAAUAACCAGUAAUAAGAUUUAAGGAAGAAAAACUUGGGCUACUCCAGUUAGCAAUGCCCAAGUAUCAAAAAAUGAAGAGCCCAAAUUCAUGUGAAAAUGUAUACAUGUUCUUGGUUAAUUUCACAAUAAACUUGUAAUCCUUUUUUUUGGCAAUUCAAAUUAAAUUCCAUUUUGCCUUUGGAUAUAACCAAGAGUUAUGUCCCUUUUAAUGAAUCUAGUAUAUUUUGGAGGGCUUUACUACUUCAAAUUUUUUUUUAAAAAUUUUAUCAGUAGUAAUCAUGAAAAAUAAAUCAUUUUCAACUAUGUAGUACUGAAAGAAACAUGCGACAGAAAAGAGUGGCAUCUCCAUAUAUUUUCUGAGCGUCAAAAUAAAAUUAUAAACUUUCUACCACUAACUCUUUUAUCUAAACCAUGCAAUUUUGCGUGCAUCAAAAUAGCGUAAUUAUUCAGUUUUCGUGUAAGGAAAUGAAAAUCUUAGGACUUGCUAGGAAAAACAUGGCGGUCUGGCUUCAGUGAAAUAUUUUUGCUAGAAAAUGUCGACUAACUUACCUACCUUUUAAUUCUUAUACUCUUUUCGUCCCAUUGAAAGUGUUAUACUUUUAUUUUAGAAUGUCUCAAAAUAUUUGUUCUGUUAAUAAAGUCAAAAUAUAUUUUAGUCUCUCUCUUCAACAUAGUUCAUCUCUCUAAUCAUAUACACGUUACCAUUCAAAUUCAAAUGUUGAAUUUGUAGGAAUAAAAUUGAAAAGAGAAGCACAAACAUCACAAUCAAACCACUAUUUUUAAAAAGUUUGAUUUUUGAAACAGAACCAAAUAAUUAGGACGGAAGGAGUAUAAACUAAAAUGAAAAAGGAAGUCUAGUGAUAAUUGAACCGUCAAAUAUCAUAAACCUUUUCAUAAAAUUGCUGGCUGAUCAGUAUAGCAAGUAGAUGAUGAUGCUUGUGUAGUUGCUAUCAUCCUUAGGUAUGAAAUUUUUCAUGAAGACCCCUUAGUAAUAAGUUUCUGAAUAGCUUCCCACAAAAGUUUCCGGGAGGUAAAUUAACAAUCUUUUGCAUUACUUUGGCCCCGGAGACAUGACAAUAAUAUCUUAGACGAAAGAACUUAGCCCCGACAAAUAUCAUGAACUUAUUGACAAUAGGUGGCUUAAUUUGUAAGAAAUAAAAAAUUAUUUAAAAAUAAGAAAAAAAAAUUAUUUAACGAAAUGCAAGUAACAUCUUGAACGAUUUUUCCUUAUUAACUCACAAAGUUAAGUUCCACUGUGGUACUUGCCAAUGGAACAAAGUUGACAGCAAAUCUUGUUGGUUGAAUGAGUCUCCUGACACAGCGUAUUAAGCAAUAAGCAUUCAUUGGUAUACCCAAACCUAUUACUCUGUAUAAGUGUACGUAUCAUAUUCACCCGUACCGUACGUCUCUUUCUACAUUUAGACACUCCCAUAUUUCUAUAUUAAUUUCACUUUUGCUAAAGGAUUACUGGGUAAAGUGUAAAGCACGGCAAGAAAUGGUUAAACUUCUUUCUCAAUUGUGAUUUGUGGGACUGUUUAACUGUCAAAAUUAAUGUGAAAACGUAUGAGAAAGUAGAAUCCUCGAAAUCCUUUAUUUUUUCAAAAUUUAGUUUUUUAAAUACUAAAAAUUUUUAAAAAUACUCUAAAAAGUAAUCUAAAUUUUUUUAAUGUUUAAAAAAUAUUCCAAAAUAUAUUUUAAAAACUCUACUACUCUUAAAUAUUUCAAAAUAUUUUCUAAAAAUAUUUCAAAAUAUACUCUAAAAACUCUGCUACAGUAAAGUUUUCAAAAAAUAUCUCAAAAAACAGCUAAUCCAAACGGAGUAAUUGAUAAACCCUAAGACAUUUAGAUGGUGAAGAAAAAGUAAAAUUAACACCACUCUUUUAACUGUUGGAAUACUUUCAAGGUACUAAAUUAUACCUUCUUAGUACCACUCGAAAGAAAGAAAAACAAGCCUUGGAAAGAAAUAGUAUCUAGAAUAAAUCUACUGCACAAUUUGGGAAUUAUUCAUCAUUCGAUCAAGUGAUGAAUAAAUCAUACGCAAGUUCAUGUAUUAGCAGAUUAAUUAUUGAAUCUAUUCAUAAAUCAGAGGAUUGCGACACAAGGAAACUUGCAGAAUUGGACAACUAUAUGGUCCCGAAGAAAAGAAAUUGACUUGCUUCAAGAUUUCCACAAACUUGGAGCGGGGGGCGAGUGGUGACGGACGACUAAGGAACUCAAGAAAGUUAAAAUAGCCAAUUACGCAAAGUUUUGGAUCCAUUAGUUGAUUGACUGACUUCUAUUGCUAGCCGGUCAAUGCCCCCUUUUAUAAAUCAACAAGAACUUUUCCAUGGAAAAUGUGUCUCUCAUUUUGGCCAAAAUUUCCGAAUCAAUACCUUCAGUCUCCGGUCAAAUGAAGUCGUAACUUGAUAAGCUUACAAGACUUUCGUUUUCCUUCUAGAAAAAAAAAAAGAAUAAAAUAAUUCCCUUGCCCUUCAACAACCUCAACAAUAAGGUUCACUAUGAGAGAAAUUUUUUUUCCAUCUAACACACUUACGUUACUCCUAAUUCAUUGCAUAAAUACGUACAAUCACAGUUAUUGAACUUAGUAUAUUUUAGUAAUUUUUUAAAUUAAUUAUCUUAUUUUUAAAAAAUUAAUACCUGAGACUCUUAUUAACGAGUGUCGACUGAAUACCUGAUAUCAAACCGAUCGAUGCUGUAGAUAGAGAAUGGUUGUUUGCAUGGAAACCAAAUCUUUUUUUUUUUUUUUUUAUUUGCUCCUUCCCCUCUUAUACAACCACCAUAUGUAGAAAGUUGAGUUCUUGGAAUCCUCCAGUGACACAGGUAUGCUGGUAAGCAAAGCACUUGAAUAUCUUCCAGAAGAAAGAUAUGUCGCGCAGCCUUAAUUGACGAAGUAAUCUCGUCAACUUUUUUUUUAAAAAUUUUGUACUGUAUAGAAAUUCCCCGGAGUUGGAGGGGCAGUUGCUUCUAAUCAAAAUAUGCUUCACACUUCACGCCACACGCACACGGUUAGGACCAGAAGUCUCAUAUGCCCUUUUCGGUGCAUUUCGUCUAAAUUCUUUUGUAGCGUGAGAAUUUAUUUAUUUAUUUAUUUUUUAAAAAUGGCUACCUAUUUUUAUUGCUUAAUUAACGAUGCUUUCGGUGCGUUUGAGUUUUCAAGAAAAUGAAUUUGAAGAGUAACAAACAUUAAGAUUAUUUGAAAUAUAUUAUUUUUUUUAAAAAUACUGUAUGAGAUAAAAAGUUGAUGCACUGACAGUAUAUACACUUUUAUCAUUAUUAGAUGCAUGACACAUAAUUUGAAUUUAAAUUUGAAACUCAAAUUUUGCAUAUGUGUCGUAUAUCCAACCGUAAUAGUGUAUACAUCGUUAGUAUACAUAAGAUUUACUCUUUGAAGUUUUAAUCUAUCCUUUGGUUUCCCAUUCUCGUGACAAAAGCACAGCUGCGCGAAUCAGUAAAAUUGGACGUAGUAAUUUGCUGUAAUGUGCAAAACCGAACUUACCUCCAUUUAGGGUUCUUGUCUAUAGAUUGACCAUGUGGUUCGGCAACACUUUUAGUGCAAAAAUUUUCAGCAUGCAACAGUCGUCCAUAGCUUAAGUGAGUUAGGCGCAGCACAUUGUUUGGCCCCGUUCCAUAUGACUUCAUUUCGUUGCCAACUUUUCUUGGAGGACUGGAAUCUCAUUAAAUAGAUCCAGCACGAUUGGUCCACGACAAUUAUUUGGUUCUGCUUUGCUGUCGUGAACUUGUGCAUUGAUUCUGUGCUUUAAUUUCUCUUGAUUUGUAGAAAAUUUGCUAGUUUUUAACUGCAAGAUUUUGUUACUCCGAAGAUUUUUAAUUUUUAUGCAGGAAAAAAAAACGCACUUCCAAACUCUGGGUACAAUAUUUGAAAAAAAAAAAGGGUAGAUGACAGGUAAGCUAAGUAGUGGUUUAGUGCCACUAUUGAAAUGUAAAAACCUCCAACCCUACACUUUUCCGACCCAUGCACCGCUCCCCGUGCCCGAACCCAAGAAGAUUUGUACAAGAAAACAGAAAAACUUUGGUGGGGUCUUGCUCGCACUAAUUUGUCACGAUUAAAUGUAUUCUUGUUUAAAAAAUUCAUGCAGAUGUGUAGUGCAUUCGUCUGAUCUGGUGGUGAUUUAAUCCUCUUCGAAUUAUUCUUGAACCUCUUCAGGUCCUAUUCCUCCUCCAUACUAUAGGAAGUUAUCGUAUCGAAAAAAAAAAAACAGAAAAAUCUCAACUCAUUAGCCUUAUUUAAUUUGAUUUGAAGCAUAAUUUUCUUGAAGAAGAGGGGCCGGGCCACACUGAUUGUAUUAGAGCAUCCACAAUGCUAUUACACUUUGUGGAGUGUAAUCCACAUGCCACGUCAGCAUUCCACUUUCUCCUCUUUUAUUACACUUUCACUCACAAUGGAUUACACUCCACAAGGUGUAAUAGCAUGGGUCCACAAUUAAUCAAAUAUUUAUUUUAAUAAUGCAUAACUCAUAUCCCAUAAAUAAAUAAAGUAAUUUUUAAAACUAAUUUUGUUAUUUUUAAAAAAUAAAGUACUAACUUUCGUUAAAUUUUGUACAUUUUGAAUUUUUUUAUUUUCUAAAAAUGAUAUUAUUAAUUUUUAAGUUUGAAUAAUAUAUCUUUUUCUAUGUUUCAAAAAUAAUAUAUUGUUAUUUUUUAAAAAAUAAUUAUGUAGGAAAUUAAACAAAUAUUUGAUACUUCAAAUGCGAAGAUAUCAUAAUAAUUCAUACUUAAUUAAUAAUUCGGAAUGUAAUUAGUUGAACUCCAUAACAUAAUAUUACAUAAGUUAAAUCAAAUAAAAUACAAAUAAUAACAAAAUGAAUACUAAUUUUCAUUGUCAUUGCCUUCGAAUCGUUCCCAAAUAUGCUCGACCAAGUCUGAUCGAAGUUGAUCGAAGUCUGAUCCCAAAUAUGCUUUGUGCUGGAAUUUUAUCGUUGUCAUAGGGCCCACAUUCAAUGGAUUACACGCAUCAUACAUGUGAUGCGUGUAAUCUCCAUGACACGGCUCCAGCGGUGUAAUGGCUCCCCGUUACUGAUUACACCCCCAUUGGAGCUGCCCUUAUGUAUAGUAUAGCUCGUAAUGGUUUUAAUCUACUCAUAACAAAUUCACUCUCCCAAACUCAAAAGUCAUCUUUGUAUAUAGAAUUUAGCCAACGAUUAUAAUUGCACAUUUUAAUAGGAAGUUUCAUAGGCUGGCUGUCAAUUGCAACCUUACAAGAAAACGAGAUGAAGACCACUCAGAGUCACAAGUCCAACAAUAAAUCCACUAACUCUCAUUAAUUAAACCCCAUCCAUCAUUCAAUCCCAAAUAAACCAGCAAGAAAUCCGCAACUAUCCAUGGAAGCCUUGUGUCUCUACCUUCCACUUUUCCUAGCAUUAUACAUCUUCACCAAGCACUUCCUCAACAAAAUCCGAAACCUUCCACCUAGUCCCAUCCUUAAUCUCCCCGUCCUCGGCCACCUCCUCCUCAUCAAGAAGCCUCUUCACCGAGGCCUAGCCAAGAUUUCCAACCGUCAUGGCCCGGUCCUCCUCCUGGAAUUCGGCUCACGCCCAGUCCUCCUUGUCUCCUCC
rnacentral:lncRNA from 1 species